ACAGACAGUUAUGGGGUGUUGUGUUGUGAUGUUGUAUUGUACAGUAAAGGGAUGUUGUGUUGUUGUGAUGUUGGCAGUGAGGACAGACAGUAAAGGGAUGUUGUGUUGUUGUGAUGUUGACAGUGAGGGUGAGGACAGACAGUUAUGGGGUGUUGUGUUGUGAUUUGUGGUGUUGUGUUGUUGUGAUGCUGUGUUGUGAUGUUGGCGGUGAGGACAGACUGUAAAGGGGUGUUGUGUUGUGAUGUUGUGUUGUGUUGU